UUCUAGUGGCUCUCUUUAUUGCGCAAUUCUGCACAGAGAGAUGUGUGAGCAGAACGGGGACUGUUGUUGCGAGGUGAGAGAGCACGGUUUGGUACUGGUGUGUUCAUGUGAUAUAUGUACAACGUCCCCUGUUGUGCAUACAACAAUCUUCCCUUUCGCUGUGCAUUGCGUCUCAGAUGUUAAAGAGCUAUCUCACAAAAUUUCUGA
ensembl:ncRNA F18H3.6 ncRNA